AUUGGGACCAACCUGGCAAACAGGGUGAAACCCUGUCUCUACUAAAAAUACAAAAUACAAAAAAAAUCAGCCUGGCAUGGUGGCGGGCGCCUGUGGUCCCAGCUACUCUGGAGGCUGACGCAGGAGAAUGCCGUGAACCCGGGAGGCGGAGCUUGCAGAGAGCCGGAGAUCACGCCACUGCACUCCAGCCUGGGCUACAGAGCAAGACUCCGUCUCAAAAAAAACCAAAACAAAACAAAACAAAAAAAACACCCAGUUUUUCCAUGGAGUGAUAGAAUUUAAUUGAUGAGCUUGACGAGCUUAAUUACAGAAGGGAGAGCUCCAAAAUACAUGUCUGCAGCUUCACUCGUGCCUGAGCCAGCGAGAGCAGGAACCCACCAGAAGGAAGAAACUCCAAACACAUCCGAACAUCAGAAGGAACAAACUCCAGAUGCGCCACCUUAAGAGCUGUAACACUCACCACGAGGGUCCGGGGCUUCGUUCUUGAAGUCAGUGAGACCAAGAACCCACCAAUUCUGGACACAGGAGCACAGGUGUCUUUUCAAGAUUCUGAUUUCAUUUCCUUUGGAUGUAUACCCAGCAGUGGGAUUUGUGUUCAUAAGAUUAAGGUCAUUCCUCGCUCAUUGGGAACACUGAGUCAAAGAAAAUAAGUUUGCAAGAAGACAAGGAAUGACCUGUAGGCAUACUAAGCCUGCAUUUGAGACUGACAAGGAGUGAGAGAUACUGUUUUGAGUGUGUGUGAAAAUGAAGAGAAUGAAUCAUCUUUUACUGAUUAUAAUCUAUAACUUGAGUUUGCAAGUCAAAGAACUUCUGAAACAGGGUUUCAGUUACUGCUCCUAGCAGGAUUCUCCAUUGCUACUCAUCAUAUUUUGUUAAGACAAACAGGGCUAUCAUGAAGCAGCAGACACCCCUGUCAUAUCAUGCGUGGAGGAGGUAAAAGUCCUUUCCAGUUCACAUCUCUGCCUCUGUGGUAUCUUUGCCAUAAUAGACUUACUCUCUUUUUAAACAGUUCAGUACAUGGGAUUCUGAGUUAGUGUUUGCUGAUAUCUCUUCAAUUCUGUAAAUAUGGACAAAGGGAAAACAAAGAUCAUGAAAUGGGACAGUCUCAUCAACUAAUCUUCCCUUGAGUUUCUGAGUCUUGCAAAGGCAGAUAAUUCUUUUAAAAAGAACAAUUUGAAUCACUUUUCAAACCGUUUCUGGCUCAUUGUCUUUGCUUCCUUAUCUGUUUAAAUAUGUGCUUCCUAACUACAACAGGUCUUUAAUAUUAAUUUAUAUAAGCAAAGGAGAUAGAAGGAUCAAGGAUGCUAUUAAAUUUGAUGCUGUGCUAACUGACGGAGAGUUUGCUCAAUUAUUAUUCUCUACAACAGCACUGAUCAAAGAGUGUUAUGGAAACCACAGGAUGCUCUUAGAAUUACUGUACUUGGUGGUCAAGUUGAUUUUGGAACUACUUCCAACUACAGUCCUUUUUAGAGAAUCACAACACAUCUGGGCAUGUCUAAGGUUCUAUAAAGUCCCACGCUACAAGAAAUCUGCUUCAUCCCCAUGUUUUCAAUAUAUUGACCCUCUCUUUGUAUAACCUCUAAUGAUAUUUGAUCCUAUCUUUAUUGAACAACUAUUAAUAUCCUGAACAAUUAUUCUAUCAUGAAAUACACUUUGAAAAUAUUGUCUUGUGAAUAGCCAGUAUAUUUCUGUCUCAAAGGUGAAGUUUGGUUGCGAAAAACCUAAUUAAAAGCUUAAAUCUUUCCUAGGGUUGGGUGAUGGAAAAAGAGUUUAAAGCACAAUUUUGAUGUUCGUUAUGUUUCUUGUUUCCUGGGUUUUGUUUCUUGCUUUAGCUUGUUUUAAAUUAGAGGCAUAAGAGAAGACAGUAAGGAAAUAUUGAUGCUACCUAAAGCUUUGGCCACAGAUAGCCAGGCCAUGGCAGGUGCAGGAAUGGUAACAAAUGCUAUUUCAGCAGAUGAUGACUUUACCCAGGAGGGAAACAGCAAGUCAGGCGAGGGGCAGUAUCCACUUGCUUAGUGACCCCAGACAUGAUAGGGAAGAACCUAAGAGUGGGAAAAAUAUUAUCUUUGCCCAGGUUGGGAUGGCUUACACAAUAGGAACUUCCACAAACAUCUCUGUGCUCUUGAGACAGUAUUGGCAAAUAAUCCUGUUUUCCAAGGGAUCCCAUCUGUAGAACCGAUGUGAAAGUUUCCAUCUGAAGUUAUGCUAUGUGAGGCUCUGUAACCACCUCUCUUGUUCCUCCCUUUGGAAGAAGGGUUUAUUAAAUUCAGAGAAUACCAAUGGUUUGAGCUCUGCUCCUGGGUAGGUUUUUAUGUCAAAGGUCACUCCCACAGCAGAGUGGCCUCCCUCUUUGAUUUUCUCUAGUAGGCACCCAGGUAUUGCAUCUCUUCUACCCAGUGAGCACCUGGGGUAGACCUUGUCCUUCAGUGUGGGUUGUGGAAGUGGCAGUAGGGGGAGGUCAGUUGUUGUCCUGCUGUUUUGUCUAUUACUGAAAGAGUCAGCUAUUUCACAGGGCAUAAAAUGCAUUGAGAAGUAGAAAGUCCUCAUACAGUGUGCAGUCACCUGCUCCUUAAAUAGAAAUGUUGAUGGAAUGUGAGAACUCAAGAUAUCCACAAUACAGGCUACACAAUAAGAUAUUGCCUUUUUAUUGCUAGCGUAAAAAACCCAACUCAGUAUGCCAAACCUGUCUCAUGAGCUUUGUUUUAUUCAGUGACUAAAGUUAUCACUGAAGUUCCCAUUUCCAAAUUAUACAAAUCAAAUACAUAGCUCAUCCUAAAAUGCACACCAUUUUACUGCAUGAUGCUCUGCCUCCUUCAGUCAUGUUAUUUGCUGAUUACUGCACAAAAGUACAAAGAAAAACGUCUGCUUCUGAGCUCACAGCCAUUUCUCCCAAUUCUGAAAAUAUGCUAAUGUCAACAGCAAACUUCAAACUCAAAAGGGAUCAUUUCUAAUUGUUUUAAGACAUGGCAGCGUUUGUAAACAAGAGAAGCCAGAUAAAUAUGGCCAAAUACUUUUUCAUGUUGAGAACAUAUAUUUGUAGAAAGAAACAUUUUGGAGACAAUGUUCAAAUCAUUAAUUUAUGCACUCCACAAAUAUUUAUUGAACACCUACUGAUGUCAGGCACUGUUAUGUAUUGAAAUUGCAGUGGUGAGUAAGGCAGACGAGACUACUGUCCAAAAUUAUUACACUGUGGAUAGAUCAAAAAUAAAUCAUAAGUGAAUAAAUGUAUACUGUUUCAGAAGUGUGUAGGAAAUGACUGGGAUAUUUAGUGUAGAAGUGUUGUAUGUGCGGUGGAGGAGGCAUAGGGAAAGAAACAGAAAGAGAAUGAAAGAAAUCAGACAUGAAUAUACAUACCUGAUUCUGUGGCUAUAAAAGACCGUAAUAGGCAAAGCUAAUAGUGAUGUGGGAAGUCUGACUAGUGUUAAUCCUUGGAAACAAUGGAUGUGGCAAUGACUGGGAGGGGUUUGAGAGAUGUGACAUUCAAUUUAUUAGUAUGACUGUUGGUCACAUGGGUGAUUGAUUUGUGAUAAUUCAUCAAGCUGGAUGAUUACAAUUUGCAUAAUUUUGUGUAUGCAUGUACUUUUUCAAUAAAAACUUUAGUUAAA
rnacentral:lncRNA from 1 species